rnacentral:rRNA from 1 species
AUUGAACGCUGGCGGCAGGCUUAACACAUGCAAGUCGAGCGGGGACUUCGGUCCUAGCGGCGAACGGGUGAGGAAUGCUUGGGAAUCUGCCCAGUAGCGGGGGAUAACGUUUCGAAAGGAGCGCCAAUACCGCAUACGCCCUACGGGGGAAAGGGGGGGAUCGUCGGACCUCUCACACUUGGAUGAGGCUAAGUCGGAUUAGCUAGUUGGUGGGGUAAAGGCCUACCAAGGCGACGAUCCGUAGCUGGUCUGAGAGGAUGAUCAGCCACACUGGAACUGAGACACGGUCCAGACUCCUACGGGAGGCAGCAGUGGGGAAUAUUGGACAAUGGGCGAAAGCCUGAUCCAGCCAUGCCGCGUGUGUGAAGAAGGCCUUCGGGUUGUAAAGCACUUUAAGCGAGGAGGAAUGGCUCUGGGUUAAUACCCUUGAGCAGUGACGUUACUCGCAGAAUAAGCACCGGCUAACUCUGUGCCAGCCGCCGCCGUAAAAC